CAUGUAGGCGGUUGUUUAAGUCUGAUGUGAAAGCCCUGGGCUCAACCCAGGAAGUGCAUUGGAUACUGGACGACUUGAGUACGGGAGAGGAAAGUGGAAUUUCGAGUGUAGGGGUGAAAUCCGUAGAUAUUCGAAGGAACACCAGUGGCGAAGGCGGCUUUCUGGACCGAUACUGACGCUGAGAUGCGAAAGCGUGGGGAGCAAACA
rnacentral:rRNA from 1 species